AAAGAAAGAAGGAAGGAAAGAAAGAAAGAAAGAAAGAAAGAAAGAAAGAAAGAAAGAAAGAAAGAAAGAAAGAAAGAAAGAAAGAAAGAAAGAAGGAAAGAAAGAAAGAAGGAAAGAAAGAAAGAAGGAAAGAAAGAAAGAAAGAAAGAAAGAAAGAAAGAAAGAAAGAAAGAAAGAAAGAAAGAAAGAAAGAAAGAAAGAAAGAAAAAAAAAAAAAGAACAAAAGAAAGAAAAGAAAAGUACGACUAACCACUAUAUUCCUUCAAAUAUGUGGAAGCAGCAGCCUUACUGUGUUUAAGAAGGCUAAGGGAACUGUUCCACCAAUUAACUAGUCCAUUUUCAAGUGGACAGCUUAGAAGUAAAUUUAGCAAAUCAGGUAUGAGGCUUUCAAGAUACAUUACCCAUGGUACUUAUAUCCUGAUCUGGCUACAUGCAGGUAUAACUUCCUUCUUCAAGAAAUAAUUGUAUGUCAUAUAAAGAAAGAACCAUUCUGUAGCUGUGGGAAAAUAAAAUACAUAAAUAAAUAAAAAACAUUGAAAGAAAAUAAAACAACAAAC
ensembl:lncRNA